GCUGGGCGUGGUGGUGCACGCCUGUAAUCCCAGCUACUUGGGAGGCUAAGGCAGGAGGAUUACUUGAACCCAGGAGGUGGAGGUUAUAGUGAGUCGACAUUGCACCACUGCACUCCACCCUGGGCUACAGAGUGCGACCCUGUCUCAA
rnacentral:SRP_RNA from 1 species